AUUAAACGCUGGCGGCAUGCCUUACACAUGUAAGUCGAACGGCAGCACGGGGGGAACCCUGGUGGCGAGUGGCGAACGGGUGAGUAAAGCAUCGGAACGUGCCCUGGAGUGGGGGAUAACGUAGCGAAAGUUACGCUAAUACCGCAUAUUCUGUGAGCAGGAAAGCAGGGGAUCGCAAGACCUUGCGCUCUGGGAGCGGCCGAUGUCGGAUUAGCUAGUUGGUGGGGUAAAGGCCUACCAAGGCGACGAUCCGUAGCGGGUCUGAGAGGAUGAUCCGCCACACUGGGACUGAGACACGGCCCAGACUCCUACGGGAGGCAGCAGUGGGGAAUUUUGGACAAUGGGCGAAAGCCUGAUCCAGCCAUGCCGCGUGAGUGAAGAAGGCCUUCGGGUU
rnacentral:rRNA from 1 species